AUACGGAGGAUGCGAGCGUUAUCCGGAUUCAUUGGGUUUAAAGGGUGCGUAGGCUGUGCGUUAAGUCAGGGGUGAAAUACCGUCGCUCAACGUCGGGGCUGCCCUUGAUACUGGCGUGCUGGAGUACGGAUGCCGUUGGAGGAAUGAGUGGUGUAGCGGUGAAAUGCUUAGAGAUCACACAGAACACCGAUUGCGAAGGCACCUGGCGAAUCCGUCACUGACGCAGAGGCACGAAAGCGUGGGGAUAGAACAGGAUUAGAUACCCUGUUAUUCCACGCCGUAAACGAUGAUGACUAACCGUCGGCGAUAGACAGCCGGUGGCCAAGCGAAAGCGAUAAGUCAUCCACCUGGGGAGUACGUCGGCAACGAUGAAACUCAAAUGAAUUGACGGGG
rnacentral:rRNA from 1 species